rnacentral:lncRNA from 1 species
UUCUCGGCUUGAUUUCAAGAAAUUUCCUUUAUUUCCUGUUAUGCCCCUGAAGAACAAUCAGUUGAUUGUUGUCCAUCGGACAAUCUUUUUCAUCUAUACCGUAAGAAUACUUUUUUUCAUCUCUUACAAUUCUACCCUUUUUAUACAAAUCAGUAUUUUACAAUCCUAAAUAACAUGGCUCCACUGCUCCGCUUUCUGUCUCGUUUAGUCUAUUUCUGACCUUUGUAUGUCUCUUAAUUAAUGAAUAUAAUCAUUGCUCACGUCAUUCUCAGCCUGAUUUCAUUUUUUGGUGAUAUGUCUCUGUACCAUGUAUAUUAACCAUUUUCUAUUUAUUACAGGACGACCAGUCUUGCAGGAGACAAUGCUUCGAAUCACAAGAUGAUUGCCCUCCGAAAAAGAAACAAAACAAACAGAAGCAUCGCAAUACCGAAGAAAUUUCCUUUAUUUCCUGUGAUGCCCCCGAAGAACAUCUUGCAGGAGACAAUGCUUCGAAUUCACAAGAUGAUCGCCCUCCCAAAAAGAAACAAAAAAAACAGAAGCAUCGCAAUACCGAAGAAAUUUCCUUUAUUUCCUGUGAUGCCCCUGAAGAACAUCUUGCAGGAGACAAUGCUUCGAAUUCACAAGAUGAUCGCCCUCCGAAAAAGAAACAAAAAAAACAGAAGCAUCGCAAUACCGAAGAAAUUUCCUUUAUUUCCUGUGAUACCAAUGAAGAACAAUCAGUUGAUCGUUGUCCUUCAGGACAAUUUUUUUCAUCUAUGCCAUUGAGUGAGACUGAAGUUCUUAAGAAUCAAAUAUCUGUCCAACUUCCACUAAAUCAAAAGAAGAAGAGAGUAACACCCAAAUCUCCUUCCACGCAAGUCAAACGAAACAAACAGAUAGUAGCACCUGAUUUGGCAAAUGAUGAAUCUAUUUUAUCAAGCAGUUCCAAAGAUUCAGAAACGUCAGCUGUUAACCGAAAUAUACAGAUAGUUGCACCUGAUUUGGCAAAUGAUGAAUCUAAUAUAUCAAGCAGUUCCGAAGAUUCAGAAACGUCAGAUUUAGAAAGUGCUCUUAAGAAACAACUUGCACAUCUUCAAACUGAAAUAGAGAAAAUUAGAAAAACAAAAAAGGACCGAAAGACGAAAAGUGUCAAUGUGCGUCGGAAUAUCUUCCCAGGUAAUACCACACAACAAUUAUAUCUAAGAACCAAGUUUUCGUGAAACUCGGUAUUCAGGGGUAUUUUUCAUCGGGAAACUCGAAUUUUUAGUGAGAUUUUCAACAUUUCAAAAUCCAAGAAGGCGGCCCUGCACAAAAAUGCGGUCCUGGCUCCUGGAACAUCAAUUUCUGUAAAACUUGGUGAAAAAACCGAUUAAGACAAAUAAGAUGUUGUCUUCUCAUCAAUGUUGAAAACUAUGCGGGGCGGUGGCAGCUCGCGGAGCGAGUCGCAAUUUCAUCGCAAAGCGAAGAACUGGGGUCCAGGGGCACUCCCCGACUAGGCGUGUCAGCUGGCAAAGCGAGCUAAUCACGACUAGUUAAUAUAUAUAAAGCUAUCAUACCAAGAUUUCAUCGACACUUUACAAGAAAACUGCCGGAGCAAUUUCCUUUAAACUUGGCAAAAAUGAAGAACAGGUACCCAAACAUGUCUGAAAAGUCAAAUUUUCAAAAGGUUGCCACCGAAGCCUGAAAUAGAGAAAAGUUGUUUUUCCCUAUACUAAUGCAUUGGGGAUACGAGGUUGUUCAACCGCACCCCACCGAACAGGUUCAAUCCUGUCGCGUGACAUCAGUCGCAGCAUCAUACACGAAAUUUCAGGUUUUAGGGGGUAUUUUUCGACAAAUUUUUAUGAACCUUG